rnacentral:rRNA from 1 species
UACGGGGGGGGCAAGCGUUGUUCGGAAUUACUGGGCGUAAAAGGCUCGUAGGCGGCCAACUAAGUCAGACGUGAAAUCCCUCGGCUUAACCGGGGAACUGCGUCUGAUACUGGAUGGCUUGAAUACGGGAGAGGGAUGCGGAAUUCCAGGUGUAGCGGUGAAAUGCGUAGAUAUCUGGAGGAACACCGGUGGCGAAGGCGGCAUCCUGGACCGGCAUUGACGCUGAGGAGCGAAAGCCAGGGGAGCAAACGGG